CUGGAAAGGGCCCCUCGGAUCAAAUUGGAUGUAUGACUCCAACUCCUUUCCAUGUACAUCACUGGAACCAGGGCUGCCGACAUCCAGGAAGGGCUCCAGAGUGCAGAAUGACUGAGCCCAGAAAUUGAUUAUUAGCUUAUCCUUAAGUCCCAGUCCAAGAAGAAACUAUGCUGGAUGCUUGACUACCUACCCAAAAGCAGAGGAUGGGAACCCAAGAACAGACAUGCAGAGAAUCAGCUCCACACAUAGCUCCUGCUGCCGGCAGCAAUGCAUAACAGAGGGAGCUGCAGACUGGUUCCACACACCAUCCACCCCACCUCUUACCCGUGGCGAGUUCCCUCUGGAGUGGCCCCAGUGUCCUGGCAAGCCCUGGGCAGCAACAUCAAAGCCUCGGCUGGUCACAGCUCUCCGCGUCAGAGGCCAUGGUGGCUCUGUGCAGCAAUCCCACAGGCCCAGGCUCCCUGGAGCUCCCCCAACCCUGGGUGCAGGGAGAGCUGGAGCAGGGACAGCAUCCUCCUGCCAUUACAGAACUGCUGAGAAGGCACCCCUUCCUCUGCGAGCCCUGCCCUUCCACUUGACCUUCUCAGCCCAGCUUGAAUGUGGAUGGACAUCCUCGUCACCAUGGCAGUGCCACCAGAUCUGACCCAAAUACUUCGGGCUUGCUCCAAUCUGUCUUUUAAGAAACAGGCACAAUAUAAUUUUACUCUUGUGUCAAAAUGGUAGAGCUGGGCUGGGGAUUUAGCUCAGUGGGUCUGCCGCCUGCCACACAAGCGCAAGGACCCAAGUUGGAUUCCAGUACCAAAAAAAAAAAAAAAAAAAAAAAAAAAAAAGAUAGAACUCAGUUAAAAAAAUCAUACCGAGUCUGUGAAAAACAAACCCUAAAAUUAUUUAUGAAACUUCUGCCUUCAGCUUGCAAGUUUACAAUACAAAUGUGGACUGAGCUCCCCUUUUUUUUAGGGAAUACCACUUGGCACAGGUGGUAAGAUGUGAUUCUGCCCUCAAAGAGCUCAUGCAUCGCUAUUGCUUUUGUAAGAAGAAGGAAGUGCCCAAUCAACAUGCCCACAAGGUGCCAUUGUGUCAGAGAAUGAGAAGAGCGUGGCACCCGUUAGUCCAGGGUAACCUCACCAAGCGCCAAGCCUGGUGCUCAGCCUUAGGGUGCGCUGGGAAGGAGAGGGCAUGCGGGCUGAUGAGGACAGCAGAGGCAGAAGGGCGGCCUGUAUGGGGAAAGUCUGGAAGGCAAGCUGGAGUCGGCUGGUGCCUCUGAACUUGACACUGACAGCUGAUUCUACUCUGCUGCUGAGCUGGGGGUGCAAUUCAGAGAGGAGAACUCCUGGAAGGGCAAGCAGUGGCAGGGAGGUGCCUGAGAAGAAAAGGACUGGAAAGCUUCCAGGGGUCAGGAAGGAAAAGUACAGGGACACAGUCAUUUGCCAGGUUCGCGCAGAACAUCAGAAGUGGAAGCAAAGCCAAGUGUUUCUGCCCUCUCAGGCAUAGGGCUUCCUUCUCUGAUACUAAUUCUCCAAAGGCACUGCUGACUUCCAUUCUCGGCCUCUGUCUAGAACACAGACUCAGCUGAAGCAGAAGUGACUGCCGAGUGUGCAGAGCAAAUGCACACUAUCAUUCAGUCGCUGUAGGCACUUCUGAUGAUGCAGGCACACUGUGAGGCAUAACUUGUAUCCUUCAAUUCAUGGCCACAGUGAACUUGGGAUGCACAAUGCUGCUCACAGACCUUCUCCACACAAGAGGUGUUGGCCCCACCCCAGCAGCCCGACCCAGCUCCAAUGCUAGUGCAGAAUGAGCAGAGUCUCAGGCUACAAUCAGGUUCUCAGUCUCCCUCCCUUUCAAGUUUUUAUCAUUCUAUUCUGUUCUUUCUACUUAAAAAUGAUUGUUCGGUACUAGUAGAAGCAUAAGCUGCUUCUUCAAAGAAGCACCAACUAGCAUCUGCUCUUGUGCAAGAAGGCCUCAAGGUCUCGAGAGGGAAGUCAUUUCUGCCCUUAUCUCAAAGUAAAAAUACUGACUCCCAGGGCAGAGGAUUUAGCUCAGUGGUACCACACCUGUCUUGGGAGCGCAAGGUCCUGAGUUCAAUC
ensembl:lincRNA